rnacentral:snRNA from 1 species
GAAUGUGAGGGAUUAUAUUCUGGCGUGUGGCAUCUGUCACCACAUUGAUUGCCAGGGUUGAUUCCACUGAUCUGGCUGGCUAAGUGGGUGUCCCCUUCCUCCCUCACCACUCCAUGUUCAUCCCUCCUGAAGCUGUGGGCUCCUCUUGAACAGGAUGCCCUUCUCUGAUGGGAGGAGGACCAUCUUUCAGUCAAGGGUAUACGAGUCGCUGCGCUUCCCCGCUAGAACCUCCGAACAAACUCUCAAAUGUACUGGUCUGAUAGAGACUGGUAGAAUCCUUGAAACUACAGCACUUAGAAAAGUCACCCUCCAAAGCCAGAGCUGAAUACGCUCCUU